CAAUGGGUAGUUUAAUUUAGAAUUCCGGCUUUGGGGGCUGGAGGUGGGAGUUUAAGUCUCUCCCCUUUGA
rnacentral:tRNA from 1 species